rnacentral:rRNA from 1 species
UACGGAGGGAGCUAGCGUUAUUCGGAAUUACUGGGCGUAAAGCGUACGUAGGCGGCUUUGCAAGUUAGAGGUGAAAGCCUGGAGCUCAACUCCAGAACUGCCUUUAAAACUGCAUCGCUUGAAUCCAGGAGAGGUGAGUGGAAUUCCGAGUGUAGAGGUGAAAUUCGUAGAUAUUCGGAAGAACACCAGUGGCGAAGGCGGCUCACUGGACUGGUAUUGACGCUGAGGUACGAAAGCGUGGGGAGCAAACAGGG